UACCAGCACCCCGAGUGGUCUGGACGUUUAUUGGGCCUAAAGCAUCCGUAGCCGGUUCUGCAAGUCUUCCGUUAAAUCCACCUGCUUAACAGAUGGGCCGCGGAAGAUACUAUAGAGCUAGGAGGCGGGAGAGGCAAGCGGUACUCGAUGGGUAGGGGUAAAAUCCGUUGAUCCAUUGAAGACCACCAGUGGCGAAGGCGGCUUGCCAGAACGCGCUCGACGGUGAGGGAUGAAAGCUGGGGGAGCAAACCGG
rnacentral:rRNA from 1 species